rnacentral:rRNA from 1 species
UAGCAUAUGCUUGUCUCAAAGAUUAAGCCAUGCAUGUCUAAGUAUAAGCAACUUAUACUGUGAAACUGCACAUGGCUCAUUAAAUCAGUUAUGGUUUAUUUGAUGAUACCUUACUACAUGGAUAACCGUAGUAAUUCUAGAGCUAAUACAUGCGUAAAAUCCCAACUCUUGCGGGAAGGGAUGUAUUUAUUAGAUAAAAAACCAAUGCGGGUUCUGCCCGGUACUGUGGUGAUUCAUAAUAACUGUUCGAAUCGCAUGACUUUUACGUCGGCGAUAGG